rnacentral:rRNA from 1 species
UACGGGGGGGGCAAGCGUUGUUCGGAAUUACUGGGCGUAAAGGGCUCGUAGGUGGCCAACUAAGUCAGACGUGAAGUCCCUCGGCUUAACCGGGGAACUGCGUCUGAUACUGGAUGGCUUGAGUUCGGGAGAGGGAUGCGGAAUUCCAGGUGUAGCGGUGAAAUGCGUAGAUAUCUGGAGGAACACCGGUGGCGAAGGCGGCAUCCUGGACCAACACUGACACUGAGGAGCGAAAGCCAGGGGAGCAAACAGG